rnacentral:tRNA from 1 species
AAGGAUUUAAGUUAAAAAAACUAACGGCCUUCAAAGCUGUAAAUAGGGGCUCUCUAAGCCUUA